CCUAUCUCUACCUCCUCGUGGUGUCAGCCGGAAUGUGCAGUAUCAGUACUGCAUAUACCAACAGAGAGGGUCAGUGACGCUAGUGGUUACCUAACGUCGCUGAGGGUGUUUGAAUGUUCCCCAGCCUGUGUCCGUGCCCGUUGACCGUAUCGAUCUAUCGCUAUAUUGAGUCUUGCAUCUUGUCGACACAAAUUGCAUGAAUCAAAUGGCUUCUAUGACAUUCAUUAACCAAAUCAAGUAUCCCAAGCUAACUAAAAGGAAUCUAAGUUUAACCUUCAGCUAACCAAGUUCGAGCAGGGUUCGAUGUGUACUGGAGCUCGAGGCACACCUAUCAGGCUUGAAGACUCGCCCUUGAUGUACGAUGGCCCCCAUAGUACGCAGGACUGACUAUCCUGCUAUGGAUUAUGUAAAAUUAAUUAUGUUUGGGGGGAAUCGUUACAAUAAACUAUUUUAGAAGCUAAUAAGAAGUCUUUAUAAAAAUGAUAAAAAAAUAGAAAAACGCAUAAAAUCCAUUGAAAAAAAAACACACACAACACAACUUAGUAUAACACCGAUGGAUCGGAAGGAUGUCCACCGCAGCAGUUUGCUCGAAAUUGUAAAAUAACAGUGCUUACAAAUUCGAGGCCGCUGGUGGAAAACCUCAUCAACUAACAUCGAUCGAUCCAAUAUUUCGUUCUGCAUACAAAAUGGCUACACAGUUUUCUGCCCCUCUUGAGUAUGCGUCUCAAGCCGUGGUUUGAAAGCUAGCAACUGCCAAGAACGUAUAUUUACAUUUUUGUUUGCAGCGUUUGCGCAUAUUGCUUUGCAUGCAAGCAUUUUUGCAUACUAUAGAGUGUUUUAACAUUUUAUCGUUUAUUUCUUUACUUCAAUUAUUUUAAUUACCGAUCUUAUUUAAGCACAAGACAACUAGUAAUAAGAUUUCUGUAUUAGUGUCCGAAGGCGUACCAUUUCUGAUUCUUCAUGCUAUUCUCAUUUUGUAGCAUUAUUUUCUUAUCAAGUGUGUUUCUAGUUUUAAAAAGCUGUUAUAUGUAAGGUAUGUGCAACUGCAUGUUAUCGACAAUAACACCAGUCCUCCAUGCACAUGGCAAUACCACCCAGCCAUUAGAUGCAUCAAAACAAUAAAAUCUCGAAGUGCCUGUUCACAUGUAUACAAAAGGGCUUUUUUCCUUUGAAUCACAAAGAGCGAUGUUUGCACAUCAAUGGUAGUGCCGGUGUGUUGCAGCACCUGCUGCGAGUACUAACAGAGACCGAGUACCUCUGCUGUCUGAGCACCGGCCGGUAGCACACUAGCAGCUUGCCAGUCUUCCCCUACUCCACUCUAGGUGCCUCCAGUGAAUAUUCUUAUGUAUUACUACGACAAUUGAUAUGGCUACAAGCAGGCGUGCCAAGUGGGAAGAACCAUCGUUUGAACCAAGAUGAAUCAUUCGAGUCUCUUUCCGUAGUGCCAUCCAGAGCUAUAAGUAAUCAUUUGACGUCUAAUUGAAAUACUCAUGCCUUUCUGAACAUUGUAACAUAACAAGAACAUAACUACACAUUUGCUUUCCCCAAAAUUAACGUACGUUUAUAUUACCCGGGUUCUUCUCCUCGAUGAACAUUUUGUUGAGAUUCAAUUGUUUGGAGUCUAAUAUAAAUUGAUGUUGUAGUAAUAGUCAAUUAUUAAUUUUGGAAGGAUUGGGAUAAAUUAUUAGAAAAUUCAUUCAAACUAUAUUUGUAAAUGAAGGCACAAACAAAACUCUUAACUCCAAACACAAAACGAAUAAAGUUAAGGGUAUCACUUGUUUGGUUUCGAUUAAUCGAAUUUCGAGUUAAUCGAGUAUUUGAGUUAGACGUCAAAUGUUUACUUAUAGUUGAACAAUGUUCAAAACUAGCUUAAGAUUUUUUAUUUGAACUCGACAACAAUGCAUCACUGGCAGCGUGUUCUGUCGAAAAUUUCGCUAGUCAAUUGUUUCGUUUCUUGAAACAAUGAAAUACUGUAGAACGAAUUCUGGAACGACAGUUAAGGUACAACAUUAAGGUUUGGACAACAGAACGGCAGCAUAACAGAUGACUUGGUUAAACGAAUAUAGGUAUGUAAAGUCAUGUAAUGAUUUUCAUUUUUACUUAGUUUUAGUAGACAUUUUUCAUGCGGGAUUAGGGGCGGAUUAAGCGCGAAGCAAACUAAGUGGCCGCGUUGGGCCCCGUGGUCUUGAGGGGCCCCAAAAAAUGGAACCCCCGCUCGCAAGUAAAAUUACUAGUCAUUCCUUCUCUGAAUGAGAACAUUUCCCAAGACCAGGCCUACACUUGUGUGACCGCUUAGAGCCUCCACUCGUCUUAAUCCGCCACUGUGUGUGAUAGAAAAUAUCGAUAAAAAUGCAUGAAUACUUAAUUUCCAGUAAAUGAGCUAGAGAGUUUUAACUGUUUGGGUAUUUUAUGUAUGACACAUCUUUCAAAGGUAAAUGUGUACAAGCAUACACACUCAGAUUUUGAACUAUGCACGAUACGAGCGAUUAAACUGAGAUUUGUAUUCCUAAUCAGUCGUAAACAAAGGCGUGUUGAUAAUUGAACAGAUCAGUAGCCGGAAGUAUUGGUCUAUAAGAAGUUCGACCUGAAUCACUUUUAAUGCAAUCUGCAAAAAAAAUUCUUGCAUCGAUCAACCUUAAUCUUAUUGUUUAUUUACGCAAUUUUUACUUUUAUUCUUGCAUCUAUCAACCUUAAUCUUAUAAUUUAUUAAACAUAUAUGUGUUAUGUGUAUGAUAUGGAUAUCAAUGAUAAAAUCAACAAUUGCUAUUCACUUAGAAAAAAGUCGUUGAAAACAAUGAUUAAAUCGGCAGCCUUUCUUAACCUUUUGACUAACAACUUAACCGUACAUGACGAAAAUCCCUUCCUUGGUGACGACGUUUAUUUAAAAUUCAUAUAAAGUGUUUCAACCCCGCCAAGAAUAAAUAAAAACAACAACAAUAUUUUUUUAUGAUCUCGACACCACCGACAAUGAAGCAACAAAUUAAAGAGUGGAACAUUGAGCUGUUUUGAAUCAUUAAUUUCAUUUUUUACGAUGUGAACAGUGAACACAAUCAUCGGUAACUAAAAUAUGGGAGCAGUCCCGUAAAGCAAUCGUCAACUCGUACAACUUGCAGGGUUUUGAAUCAUAUAAGGGAAUAGCUCCACCAGUUAGGAGAAUGUUGCAAAUCGGUAGGAUAAUGUUGCAAGCAUACUGUGGUGCUGUCAUCAGACUGUAGCGGACGCUUUGAACACCCCAAAACAUUGUUGUAAAUUUUACUUAUUUAUCAUGCUUAAUUAUAUCUCCGUGGUAGGAUUUAUUAAGUUUAUCAUGUUUGUUGGUCUUUUCAUAAUAAUACGCCCUAUCUGUUACAAGAUAUUAAGAUUGAAAGCCAAUUAUUCCUGGCUAUCAUAUAUGAUAGCCAUGACACUCAAAUUGUUAAAGAGCUAUAUACAUUUAUCAUUAUGAGUAAAGGGUAUUUGGUGCCAAGUUCCGUUGUCCUGAAUUCAGUGCUAAAUAGAGCUCGUGGCCUUAAACUACUAUAGCACAAUAUAAGAAUUUUAAGGUAUGUGGAUCACUAAAGCCUUUUUCAACACGUAAUCCUGACAUAAGAAAAACUUUUGAAAUACAUAACUCAUAGUGAUCUUGAAGAGUCAAUCUACUAUCUAGCUGUACACCUAAGUCACGAACUACAUAUGUGCGCGGACUUAUGUCGCAUUGAACAUCAAAUUCUUAUAUCCAAACUUAAAAUUAAAAUUAUUCUUAGUUCGCCAGGAUACUUAAGAUAACAUGAUUGCAAAUUUCCACAGUGUGCUUGCAACAUUCCCCUAACGUUGUGCAAAAUUUUCCCAACUGACUGAAAUAUUCCCUUGUGUGAUUCGAAACGCUGGAAUAACAAGUCCGUCAUGGGAUAAAGCCUAAUAUCCCCUCUCCACUGCCCCGAGCAUAUAAUUGACUUUUCCGGCGAGAUAUUGAAUAAUUUCGGGAGCUCCAAACUACCCCAGAAAGCAGACCAUACCUAGAGUGUUUUUAUUUUUCUUUUAUUCGCUUUGUUUUAUAUUGUCCUAAAUGCGUCAAUUACCUGACGUCGUUUGAACGUACGAACGACGUUAACACGAUGUUGAAAUAUUUUGAAAUUGUUAAUAGGGUAGCUUGCCAUAAACAUGACACAAACCAUAAUUUUCUAGCAUAAUAUCAACGACGCAGCCUCAUUACAUUUUAUGGAAAACUAACCUAGUUGUGCUAUUCAGCACUAUUGGCGCUGGCGACUAUGUACAGUCUGCUCUUGAGAUACGCGUUUUAUGCUUUCCAGAAAAAUCCACGUAUCUGGAGUAUCCUCGCACGUCGAAUUUCACGUUUUCAGCUAAAAUACAUUUGAUUUCUUGGUAUAUUUAUUACUUACUUACUUAUCCGGCACUACAACCGCUUUGCGGUCUUGGCCUGCCUCAGGAGUGUCCGAAACC